rfam:Aedes aegypti strain Liverpool supercont1.1498 genomic scaffold, whole genome shotgun sequence.
UAAUCGGCCCUAUUCAGGGCCACCAAGAGUUUGCUUAUGAGUUGUU